UUGGGAUGAUCAAAAUUUUGUGUAUAUGCUAUAUAAAGGUUUGGAUGAUUCGUAAAUGAUGUUUUAGUUUAUGGAUGUACACUGAUUACCAACAAUAACCACGGAUUUAAAUCUGAUUUCUCUUAGCUUUAUCUUUCACAACUUCUAACCGGAACCGGAAGCAGCAUGCUUAGUGUGCUUGCAUGCUUGAGGGAUAAGGAUAGUUAAUAAUGUUAAAGUGACAAAGUGUUACGAGGUAUUCAGUCUCACUACUGCUAUAUCUAAACUUUUAAUAUGUACCUAUUAAAGUUUAAGAUUUAACUACUUUAUGUCCUAUUUAUAUGUAAACUCAAAAUUUGAAUUAUAUCAAUAUGACACACAACAAUGAAUCAUCAUACAAAUAUUCAACAUAAAC
rnacentral:lncRNA from 1 species